GCACGCGUAGCUCAGUUGGUAGAGCGUCAUCCUAAUAAGGUGAUGGUCGCAGGUUCAAUCCCUGCCGUGUGCA
rnacentral:tRNA from 1 species